UCGAUGGCUCUGUGUCAUUGUUCAUCAUUGCAUUAUCCCGAAUGAUCAUCUAUUAAACGCCAUGAGACCGAGCCUAAUUAUUCAUAGGUGCUAAUUACAUGUUCAAACUUUCUGGGAUAUCAAAAACCAAAGAACUGAAAGGUUUUCGCAAAUUUUGGGAUCUAUUUUGAAAUUUUGAAGUCUUGGGAAAUCCCAGUACCUACUUUACCGGAAACUUUCGAUCACGCUGCCUGUAAUCUGACGAACAACCUGUGACCAAUGUCAAUAUUGGGCCUUAGAACACACCAAGCUCGUUCCCUCAAGUGGUAAAUGGAUAAUCGAACUUUAAUUUUGUUUACAAAUUGUCGGCGAUUGACGUCAAUCGAACAAGUAGAAUCUGUACACUCAUUGUCCAUAGAGCCAAGCGGGAAGUACAGAACUGCUGGUGAUGCAGGCGAAUAACUUGUUCAAUCAACCUCAUCAUCCUCCGACGAACGCAAUUGAUGGCUAUUUAUCCGCGGCAUGAAGUCCCCCACGACCAUCAUCGGCAAUUUUCGGUUCAAUUAUCCGGCACCGCGCCGCGCCGCACCGCGUCACACACGCGUCCCGGUGAAACAACUUUGAAUCUGCGUGGAUAAUUACCCACGGUGUUGUUCUCGGAAUGAUUCUGACUAUUUUGGGAUUCGAUAUGGUAUCAAACCCACAAAAAAAAAGCGCUGACCAAAGGUGAUACGAUGGCGUCUUCUUCGGUUGAUUUAUGUAUACUUUCCUGUACGCCCAUCAUCAUCGGACGGACAAGAACUGGAUUUUUUUUUGUUUUCUAUGCGGUGAAGUACCCUGCCACACGACACCCAACCAACCAGCGGUUGGUAAAGCCGAGGUCGAGUACAAGUGGAUUUACUGGCGUCAUUACAGGGAAGAUUAACGAUCGCCGCCAGUCAGCGGGUACUCCGGUGUACACACUUCAUGAAGUUUACACUGUUUUGAUGAGUGGUGGUAAAAAGUAGAUAAACCAUAGCCCCAAGAAUGACGGGUUUUGCGGUAGCAGUUGAGGGUCCUAUAAAAUUAGAUUGUUCAUAAUUUAUGGCCGUGCGGUGGUCACAGUUGAACAGUUUGGGACGCAAAAACAGAUGAACGUGUUCGUCUUUCACAGUUUGAUGGAGAUUGUUUGAUGACCAUCCAGGAUGUCGACGGCUUCUGACUGAUUUCAGGCAAAAACACGGGUUAAUAAAUUUGUAGCAGGGUAGCUAAAGCUCGUUCCGGGAUUCCUCUCGGAAUUUCAUCUGCUUUUGUUUGGAAUUCGCGGAAAUUAUUCCCUGGAGUUUCAUGCUCUCACUCUAAAAAGGAAAAUAAGGAACUCUAAGCAUACCUUAGAGAAAAAAUAAUGAAAAAAUAAGAAAUUUGCUAUCAAUAGUAAAGUUCUAAUAGACUAAACAUGAUCACACGAAAAAAAUUGCAGUCUUUGGUGUAGUUCCAAAAAAAUCUCCUCUCACUCAUCUAAACUCUAAACGAGCGCAAGAGAUGAUAACUAUUCUGAAGGAAAAAGGACUGUAAGAUUACAUUGCAGCUUAUUACAAAAAUGUCUAUCUAAAAAUUUUCUCUGAGUUCUCUUUCGCUUCUACUCUCAUUCGAUCUAAUUUUACCUUUUUUCUAUUCAGUAAGACCAUGGUGAGAGUGUCAGGGUUCGAUUUAGGUCGAUCUAGCCACAAAUGACGAUGCCUUUUUCUAACUUUUUUUUACAUUCCCUUACUGCCCUUGUAGCAUAUUUGUUGGAAAAAAAAACACAGGCGAGGCUUUGUUCUCCAAACCCAGGCACUGACUGAUAUCGCUACCAGCUCAGUGCCUCUCCUUUAUUCAAUCUAGGUAUAACAUAUUUACAAUUUAUUUCCAUUUACCUACCAGUUGAUACCUAGCUCUCCACUGAGCAGUGUGAUGCACUUCCAAGGAUGUACCUACCAUUCAACACUCCUCCUCAUCACACACUCUCAGAUCCGACGCGUCCCGAGCUUCACCUGGCCACGUACUCCUCCAGCCUACCGAGCUCCUCCUUAGCAACCGAGCUACCAGACUCCUCCUGGCUCCAAGCAGACUCUGCUACCAGGCCCUGGCUCCAAGCUACGUCUGCUACUAAGAGGCUACCAAGCUCCUCCUGGCUCGAAGCGUCUUCCGCCUCAAGUACCUUCUGCCAUCCAGCUCCAGCGUCCAUCGAUCAGCCAGCACCUUCUGCCUCUUGGUUCCAGCGCAGGUUCCAGCACGGCUAUCAAUCCUCACCGAGUGUUGGUCCCCUCACCGCAUCUUGGUGUCUCAACGAAUAUUGGCACCAGGCCUCAUCGCAUCUUGACACCUCAUCGGGUAUUGGCCUCCUCAUCGUAUCUUGGAUACCGCAUCUCGGUCUCCUCGCUUCCCGAACCACCACCAGGGCGUCCCUGGGCCCAUAACCUGUUGGAAAUAAAAAACACAGGCGAGGCUUUGUUCUCCAAACCCAGGCACUGACUGAUAUCGCUACCAGCUCAGUGCCUCUCCUUUAUUCAAUCUAGGUAUAACAUAUUUACAAUUUAUUUCCAUUUACCUACCAGUUGAUACCUAGCUCUCCACUGAGCAGUGUGAUGCACUUCCAAGGAUGUACAUACCAUUCAACAAUAUUACACUAUCGAAAAAUAUCCUUGCUCCUCACAUGGAGUAAUCCUUACAGGAACCGCGUGAACUUAUCUUGAGAAAUCGAGUUUCAGGAAAAAUCCUAUAAGGAAUAUCGCAAUCCACGAGGAAUUUCGUCAGAAAUCGCUGGAACAAUCACGUGAGCAAGUCAUGAAAUAAUCCUGGAGUAAUCCCUGAAAGAUAUGAAGAAGUGUCCCUGAGAGUCUUCCGGAGGAAUUCUUGAAUUAGCCCCAGGAGGAGUUAAGGAAAGAAUCUCGAAAAGAUUCUUGGAGAAAUCAUCUCGGAAAGCUUUCCUGAAAGAAUCUCGGGAGAAAUCCCUGAAUGAGUCCUGGGAGAGAUCCCUUAUGGGAAUUAAGGAAUCGCUGGAAAAAUUACUGGAAUAUUCGAGAAUAAAUCUUCGGAAGAAUUUCCUGAAAGAAUUAUCCAGUCAAUGAUAGGAUCCCGGAAAAAAUGAGUAGAGGAAUUCCGAAAAAAAAACCUGAAAGCAUGUCGAGAAAAAUUCCUCAAGGAAGCCCGUGGAAAAAUCAAUGAAGAAAUCCCGGUAGAACUCAAUAAAAGAACCCUAGGAGGAAUACUUGAAGAAAUUCCGGAAUGAUGCCUGGAAGAAAUUCCCUGAAAGAAUUCCGGGAGACACCCCAGGAAUAACUCUGAAGAAUUUCUCGAAAAAAUCGCGCCAGAAAUCCCUUAAUAUUGUUGGUGUUAACACUGAAUGAAUCAGAAAAGAGUCUCUUUGAAUUUCCUUGAAGAAUCUUUGGAAGAAUCCAGGAAGAGAUGUCUUAAACAAUCUUCGAGGAAUACGAGAUGAAACCCCAGGAGCAAUGCCUGAAGAAAAUCAUCGAAUGAAUUUCUGGAGGAAUCCUAAAAGGAACUAGUGUAUGUAUCGCGGGAAGAAUCUCCGUACAUCUCAGAAGGAUUCCCUGUAAAAAAUCUGAAGAUAUCCCCAAAGGAAACUCUGAAAAGAUCCUUGAAAAAAUCAUUUAAAGAAUCUUGGGAGCAAUCUCGAAGAAAUACCGAGAUAAAUUCAUAAGGAAGGAAACCCAAAAAGAAUCAAUGAAGGAAUCACGGGAGAAACAUCUGAAGGAAUCCCUGAAAGGAUCCAGGAGAAAUCCCCAACAGAACUCCAAAGGACAAUCAGUGAAGUAAUCACAGAAGGAGUCCCGGAAGAAAUUUCACUAAUGAACCAGUGUUGAUACUGGCAACACUUCUGGUCACGCUCCGAUGACGGCCGGAGCGAACCGUCAAACUUAUGUCAGGGAAUCUGUAGUGGUGGGUGAUGACAAUUAAUAGAGCAAUGUGAUGGCCAGCCUCGUCAUCGUUAUUGUUGGCCAAAGUACAGUGAAGAACACUUGUGUAAGCUAUUUGUGCCUAGUAUCUACAGCUAUAAAAAUUCAUAGAUUGUUAUUCCCGAUAACCUACACAAAACGUUACACAAAUUAUACUCCUCGUGUUAACGGUAGUACGGUUAGAAUUGUGCGAUAAAUUACCCAUGCAAACGAUUUUCUCUAAAGCUACAUUACCACCAACAUAACGGUGUUGUGAUUUGCUACAAGAAAUCGACCAGGGGUUCGCAGUUCAUAACCACAACGGGAACAAACUUUAGAGAAAAUCGACAGCAGUUUCUAUAAACUCGUCGAUAUGGAAUCGAAUCCACAAAAAUCCCUCCCGGACAUGCACAGCGAGCUAACAUUGAAUCCCGCACACACGCUCGACGAAAACCGGUCAGAUUGCGUACGGUGCGACCGCCGGAACGGCGAAGAUUCAAUGGUGCAGUGCGACACUUGUCAGACGUGGUGGCACUUCGCAUGCGCAGGCGUCACCGACUCGAUCAACGAUCGAUCGUGGUCCUGUCCAAAAUGUCAGGUAGACGAUCUGGGCAGUAGCGUGUCUCAUUCUCGUCGCUCCCGAAUCUCCAAUAGCUCGGUUAAAUCAGCGAGAGUGAAUCUGCAGCUUGAGAAGCUGGAGGAGCUCCAAGCAAUGAAAGAGAAGUUUAUCGAGGAGAAAUACAAGCUGCUAGAAUCUCAACUGGAGGGCGAAAACGAGAGUAUUCGGAGCAAACGUAGCCGAGUCAGCAAGCAAACCAGCCUCGAUAAGGUAGCGAAUUGGGUAAACAAAUGCGCAGAGCAGAAGGAUGACGUCAACGUGCCUACCUCAAAGGACACCGAUUCUCCAUUGCCGCCAGCCCAUUCCAGCCAUCCCGUGGCGAACGCACACAUCGAUGGCAAACACAUUCCGGAUGAAGUGCAGUUUCCAGUGGGCGAUAAUCAACAGAGUCCCCUCAAACAUCCUUCGUUGCCCAAGCAGCGAUUCGCUCCACCAGCUGCAGCCACCAAACCCGCUCUAGAAUAUACUAAAACGAAUCCGAAUCAGGGCGAAGAUUCAGCCAAACGUUCCGUUUUCAAUAAGCUCACAGGGACAGCACCUUUGGCCCAAUCGACCCCUGGCUACCCCUCGUUUGCUCCUGCGACACUGGUGCUACCAGCAUCGUCACUGCCAACAGUGGUGUCCAAAACAACAGACGGUCCGUCCAUGGCGCCGGUGUACUCGCUUGCAUCUGCGCACAAAUCCACUGUGACGGGGUUGUUCCCUUCAGUACUGAGCUCGAUGCCAUCCGGUGCCGCGGCCGCCCCGUAUCAGUUGGCCUCCAUCCCAGAGAACUCUCCCGAAAAGCAAACGUUUUCGCAAAUUUUUCCAGGAUCCGUAUCGGCUCCACCACCUCCCGCGGUAGUGCGGGCACCGCCGAUGUCGAUGAUUUCUCAUCCUGCCGCUCCGUCUCAACAAUUUAGCCAUCACCAGGGGAAUUUGGCGUCGAUUCUCAGUGCACCCAUACCCCCGCCGGUGUUCCAAGCUGCGCCGAUACUUCCAUCAGUCUCGGCACCGUACCACCUACCAACGUAUCCGGUGGUUCCAUCGAUGCUUCAAACGGCACACGCAUCUGCUCCUGCGCCAGCCCUUGGACCUGUGUCGGCAACUUCGCCGGCGAUCGCAUCUACACCUGCAUCGUCCCUCGUGCCACCGUCCGCGCCGGCCGCCCAGCCUGCAUCUUUGGUCAGAGAAGUAUUAUUCCCUCAGCCACCAGGUGAGCCAGAUAUUUGUCCUCCAGUGAAUAUGCAACCAACCAGUAAUGAUAAUAACAUUCAACAUCUAAUGAGGCAAUUUGGUAGCAUUGCUUUGUCGCCCGCGCAAUCACCAUUCCUCAACACAAAUUUAGCCACUUUUGCCCCCUCCCCCUCGCAGUUAGCUGCCAGGCAAGUCAUGCCUCGUGACUUACCUCCCUUUUCUGGCAACCCAGCCGAUUGGCCAGUGUUCAUAAGCUGUUUUAUGAACACUACGUUAGCUUGUGGGUACUCCAGUGCCGAAAAUCUGUGCCGCCUCCAGCGAAGCCUGAAGGGCGCGGCGUACGAGGCCGUUCAAAGUAGACUACUUCUACCUGAAUCGGUACCUCACAUUAUGGAAACUCUCCAUAUGCUUUAUGGCCGUCCAGAGCUGCUGAUUUCAGCCCUCUUGGACAAAGUUCGCUCGACACCACCACCAAAAGUGGAGAAAUUUCAAACGAUUAUUGAUUUUGGGAUGUCUAUACAAAGUCUCUGCGAUCACCUUGAAGUCGCAGGACAAACCGCCCAUCUGUCAAAUCCAUCUCUUCUCGCGGAACUCGUCACAAAACUCCCACCACAUCUUCAAAUGGAAUGGGGCUCAUAUCUCCAGGGAUUUUCGGAGGUUAAUCUGAAAACGUUCGGCCUCUUCAUGUCCAGUGUAGUGAAAGCAGUGAGCAAAGUGACAGUGUACGCCAGCAGUAGUGGAAGGUCUCCAGCAUUCGGGAAGAACAGUUCGAACUCGAGAGGAAGUGUCAACACCCACCGUAGUGACCCGAUUUUCAGCUCCGAAUCCAGUCGUGAGGGUGCAAAGCAUUGUCCAGCCUGCAAGAACGUCGGGCAUCGAAUCCAGGAUUGUCGGGCCUUCCAAUCACUUUCCGUGGACGGCCGCUGGAAGUGUGUUCAGUCAAACGGGUUGUGCCGAAACUGCUUGAGUUCGCAUGCUAGAAGAAGCUGUAGAAAAACCAGCAACUGCGGGACGAACGGUUGCGAAUACCGGCAUCAUCCGCUUCUACAUUCGCCGCGGAACAGUACAGACACGCAGAUUCAACCGUUAGUGAAUACCGCAGAAAACCAUACGCAUCGGCAGGGGCAACAAUCGCUACUCUUCAGAAUACUACCAGUGACCCUGCACGGGCCCAAAGGAUCAGUGGAUACUUUUGCGUUCCUCGACGAUGGAUCAUCUUUGACGCUAGUUGAAGACAGCCUGGUCAAAGAGUUGGGCGUCGAAGGUGUAACGAUGCCGUUAUGUUUACUAUGGACAGCGAACGUAUCACGCACAGAGAAGGGGUCCAAGCAACUGUCGCUUACCGUUUCAUCAACUGAUGGGAAAAGAUACUCACUCGAGGAAGUUCAAACCGUAAAGGAGUUGUCGUUGCCCACACAAUCGCUGCCAUACGACCAUCUCUCCGAGCAGUUUGCACAUCUUAAAGGUCUUCCUGUUAAGAGCUAUUCCAAGGCGACUCCAAAGCUACUGAUUGGAGUCAACAAUCUAGAUUUGAUGGUUCCAUUAAAAGUGCGCGAAGGAUACAAACGCGAACCCAUCGCUGCCAAAACCAGACUAGGAUGGUGUAUCUAUGGCGGUAAAGCGAGCGACGGACAACAAUUAUCAGUAAACUACCAUGCCUGUGGAUGUGCAUCGGACCAGUCACUACACAACCUCGUCAAGGAUUUCUUCUCUACGGAAGACAUCAGUGUACCGACCGUAGCUCCUCUCGUAUCAGCAGCAGAAGAACGCGCUCUGCGAAUACUGCAGGAUACUACAGUGCGGGUCGGCAAUCACUUUGAGACGGGCUUAUUAUGGAAGUUUGACCAUGUUGAACUUCCUGAUAGCUAUGGUAUGGCUCGUCGACGACUGGAGUGCCUGGAAAAACGUAUGAUGCGGAACCCGGAUCUCAAGCAAGCGUUACAGACACAGCUGGAGGAUUAUCAGGCCAAAGGAUAUGCACAUCGCGCCACUGAGGAGGAGCUAGCAAGCGCUGACAUUCGACGCGUAUGGUACUUGCCGCUAGGAGCAGUAGUGAACCCUCGGAAGCCAGGCAAGAUUCGCAUGAUCUGGGAUGCUAGAGCAGCCGUGAACGGGAUCUCGCUCAACUCAGUGUUACUGAAAGGUCCCGACCAACUUACGUCCCUUCCUGGCGUUCUAGUACGGUUUCGUCAAUUUCAUGUGGGAGUCUGCUCUGAUAUAAAGGAGAUGUUUCACCAAAUCCUUAUACGCAAGGAAGAUCGCCACUCGCAGAGGUUUCUUUGGCGCUGCGAUUCGUCCGAAACACCUGAAGUGUACCUAAUGGAUGUUGCUACGUUCGGUUCGACCUGCUCCCCGGCAUCAGCCCAAUAUAUUAAAAACAAGAAUGCCAAGGAGUUUCAAGAGACGUACCCUCGAGCAGUCGAAGGAAUUGUCGACAAUCACUAUGUGGACGACUCUCUUGAAAGUUAUGAGUCCACAGAGGAGGCAAUAAAAGUAUCCCAGGAAAUGCGUUUCAUCCACGCGCAUGGAGGGUUCGAGCUGAGGAACUGGUUAUCCAAUAGCAGCGAAGUUCUGAACGCUUUAGGUGAAGUUAAACCCGGAGAAGACAAGAAAUUCGCGACGGACAAGCAAAGCAACUUCGACCGUGUACUCGGGCUCCUGUGGUUGACACAGGAAGACUCAUUCAGCUUCUCAACCGAGAUGAAGGAAGAUAUUACUGAGCUGUUGCAGAGCGACCAACAUCCUACUAAAAGACAAAUGCUGAAGUGUCUGAUGUCACUCUUUGAUCCUUUGGGUCUGCUAAGCCUCUUUGUGGUGCACGGGAAGAUUCUUCUUCAAGAAGUCUGGAGAGAAGGGAUACAAUGGGACGAAAAAGUGAACAACGAUCUGCAUCAAAGGUGGAAAAGUUGGACCCACCUGUUCAAAGAUGUUCGAAACCUGAAAAUUCCUCGCUGCUAUUUCAUUGCUGCUACCAAGGAGAGAUAUCGGGAUCUUCAACUUCACGUUUUUGUGGAUGCCAGUGAGAGUGCGUACAGCGCAGUAGCGUAUUUUCGAACAUCGAACGCUGAAGGACUACCAGAAUGUGCGCUCAUUGCAGCGAAAACGAAGGUGGCUCCCUUGAGGACCCAAUCCAUUCCUCGAUUGGAGUUACAGGCUGCAGUACUGGGCGCUCGACUGUCGCAGUUCGUGGAAGAAAACCAUACUCUACGCAUUUCAAAGAAAGUCUUUUGGAGUGACUCAGCAACCGUCCUCUCCUGGCUGCGAGCUGACCAUCGACGAUAUAAACAAUUCGUCGCGUGCAGGAUCGGAGAAUUGCUGACCAUCACCGAUGUUGGAAACUGGCGGUGGGUUCCAACCAAACAGAACCCAGCAGAUCUUGCAACGAAGUGGGGAAACGGGCCCAACCUAACGGCCAACAGCGUAUGGUUCAGAGGUCCCGGUUUUCUUCAAUUAUCGGAAGACGAAUGGCCAGUGCAGAAAACGUCGACGCCCUCUACAGAAGAAGAGCUACGCCCCUGCUAUGCGCAUAAGGCUACGAGUAUUCCUGUACGUUUGGUAGAACUUGAGCGCUUCUCUCAGCUUACCCGAGCUACUCGAGCUGUUGCUUACGUUUUACGUUUCAUUGGGAACCUCAAGCGGAAAGUCACACGACAGGAGGGAUUCGUUGGCCCGUUAUCUUCGGAAGAACUGGUACGAGCUGAAUGUCUGCUUAUCCGUGAGACACAGUGGCAAUCUUUUCCGGACGAAAUGGUUGUCCUUGUACGCAACCGAUCGAAGCCUAGGACCGAACAAGAAUCUCUGGGAAAAUCUAGUGCCCUCUAUCAACUAUGUCCAGUUUUGGAUGAGCAUGGCAUCCUUCGCGUUGAUGGCAGAAUCGGAGCAGCCCCAAAUGUCAAUAUGCAAACAAAAUUUCCGAUGAUCCUCCCGCGGAAACACAAAUUUACUGAACUACUAUUGGAUGGCUACCAUCGUAGAUUUUUACACAGUAACGCUGAGACUGUAGUGAAUGAGGUUCGCCAAGCUUACUACAUCCCAAGACUCAGGUUGGCGGUUAAAGGCGCAGCUAAAGCUUGUCAAUGGUGUAGAGUCUACAAAAGCACACCGGAGAUUCCCCGUAUGGCACCUCUGCCACUAGCAAGAAUGGCGUCGUUUAUGAGACCGUUUACCUACACAGGCCUGGAUUUCUUUGGGCCGUUAACGGUGAAGAUCGGGAGAAGCAACGCAAAACGCUGGAUAGCCGUGUUCACAUGUUUGACCAUACGGGCGGUACACGUUGAAGUAGCUCACAAUCUAACCACGGAUUCGUGCAUCAAAUGCAUUCGACGGUUCAUUUGUCGCAGAGGAGCACCAGCCGAGAUAUAUUCGGACAACGGAACCAAUUUUCUAGGCGCCGCCAGACUUCUUCGGGAUCAAGUUGAGCAGUUGGCCGUAACAUUCACGGGCACCGCUACCAAGUGGGUAUUCAUUCCACCUGGCACUCCGCAUAUGGGCGGAGCAUGGGAGCGGAUGGUCCGCUCCAUCAAAACAGCCGUUGAAGCGGCGUACAACAACAACCGUAAACUGAAUGACGAGGCGUUGGAAACGUUUAUGGCGGAAGCCGAAGCUAUCGUGAACAGCCGUCCUCUCACAUACCUGCCGCUAACGUCGGAGGAAAGCGAAGCUCUCACUCCAAAUCAUUUUUUGCUGGGCAAUUCGAACGGCGUUAAACAACCUGCUGUCGAAGCAACGGAUCCAGCGGUAGCUCUCCGCUCAUCUUGGCACCAAGUUCAGCACCAGCUCGACAUGUUUUGGAGGAGGUGGCUUAAAGAGUAUUUGCCAACGCUGACAAGACGACCGAAGUGGUGUGGCGAAGCAAAGGCAGUGGCGGAAGGACAACUGGUCCUGGUGGUCGGUGAAGGAAAAAGAAACGAGUGGACAAGAGGCCGUGUUGUCGAAACCAUUCAAGGGGCUGAUGGGAGAGUACGGCAAGCUAUUGUCCAAACUGCGAGGGGGCUUGUUCGUAGACCGGUGGCUAGGUUGGCAGUAUUAGAGGUUGAUGAGGUUGGUAAAACUGGACCUGGUGGCCAGUGUUACGGGGGUGAGGAUGUUGAUACUGGCAACACUUCUGGUCACGCUCCGAUGACGGCCGGAGCGAACCGUCAAACUUAUGUCAGGGAAUCUGUAGUGGUGGGUGAUGACAAUUAAUAGAGCAAUGUGAUGGCCAGCCUCGUCAUCGUUAUUGUUGGCCAAAGUACAGUGAAGAACACUUGUGUAAGCUAUUUGUGCCUAGUAUCUACAGCUAUAAAAAUUCAUAGAUUGUUAUUCCCGAUAACCUACACAAAACGUUACACAAAUUAUACUCCUCGUGUUAACGGUAGUACGGUUAGAAUUGUGCGAUAAAUUACCCAUGCAAACGAUUUUCUCUAAAGCUACAUUACCACCAACAUAACGGUGUUGUGAUUUGCUACAAGAAAUCGACCAGGGGUUCGCAGUUCAUAACCACAACGGGAACAACCAGGAAGAAUCCAUAAAACAAUUUCUGAGCGAAUCUCAGGUGGAAUCUCUGAAGAAAACGAGGGCAAAAUCAAUGAAGAAAUCCCAGAAAGACAGUCAAGGAAAAAUAUCUAAAGAAAUCCAGAAAAAAAAUCUGAAGGAAUCCCUGCUGCAAUACCGGGAAUAAACCUUGAAAGAGUGCCGGUAGUAAACCAGGGAGGAUUCAUUGAAAGAAUGCCAGAGGUAGUCCUUGAUGGAAUGCGAAAAAUUUCCAUGAACGAAUUCCCUGCAGGAAUCUCUAAAGGAAUCCCGGGAGGAAUCAAUGAAGGAAUCCCGCGAGGAGUUUCUCUAGAAUUCUUGGAGGAAUCCUUGACAGAAUCCUGGAGGAAUUCCUGACGAAAUCCCAGGAGCAAUCCCUGAGGAACAUCCGGGAAGAAUUAAUGAACGAAUCCCGGAAAGAAUCCCAGAAAGAUUCCCGAGGGAAUUGUUGAAGGAAACUCAGAAAAAAAUGCCAGCAAAAAAAACCUUUGAAGUGUUUCAGGAGAAAUCAAUGAAGAAAUUCCGCGGGAAUCUCUGAAGUAAUCUAGGGAAGAUUACCUGAUAGUUUUCCUUGAAGAAAUCCUCGAGGGAAACCCAGGAGAAAUUUCUGAAGGGAUCCAGUGAGAAAUCGAUGAAAUAAUCCCAGAAAGUUCCAGGAAGAAUCCACAAAAGUAUUAUUCAAUGAGUCUCCGCAAUAUCUAUGAAGGGAUUAAUCGUCGGAGAAAUCCCUAAAGGAAUUUCCGAAAAAAAAUCUGAAAGAAUCUCAGGAGGAUACCCAGGAAGAAUGCUGGGGGUAUUUCUGAUGAAACUCAAGAAUAAUCCGUGAAAGACCCCGAAAAAAUCCGGGGAAAAAUCUUAAGGAAUCACAGGAUAAAUCAACGAAGGAAUCCCGGGAGGAACCCCUAAAGGAUUUCCAGAAAAAAAAAUCCUGCAGGAAUCCUUGUCAGAAUCCUCAAAGGGAUUCAAGGAUAAAUUCCUCAAGGAAAGAAUUUUAAACAGAAUCCCGUGAAAAAAAAACUGAAAGAAUCCAGGGAAGAUUCCUUAAGGAAAAUCCGGAAGAAAUUUCUAAAGGAAUCCAGUGAAAAAUCGACGAAAGAAUCCGGGAAAAUUCUAGGAAGAAUGCACAAAAGUAUUCAAAGAAAUCCCUAAUCGAAUCCCCGGAAGAAAUCCCUGAAGGUAUCUCGAGUGAAAAUCCAGGAAGAAUUCUGGAGAAAUUGCUGAUGAAAAUUGAAGAAUAAUCCGUGAAAGACCCCAAAAGGAUCCGAGGAGGAAUUUCUGAAGGAAUCACAAGAGAAAUCGAAAAAAGGAAUCCCGGGAGGAAUCAUUGAAGGAAUCUCAGGAAAAAUUCCUGAUGGAAUGCCAGAAAAUAUCUUCGAAGAAUCCUGGGAGGAUUCUUUCUGAAGUAAUCGCGGAAGGAAUCAAUCAAAGAAUCUCAGGAGAAAUCCCUAACGGAUUUCCAGAGGAUAAAAUCCUGAAAGAAUCAUUGCCAGAAAUUCCUGAAGAACAUACGAAAAGAAUCGCACAAGGAACUCCGGGAAAAAUGCCGGAAUAAACUGAAAGAAUUUCAAGCAAAAUUUAUGAAUAAUUCCCGGGAGAAAUCUCUGAAUAAAUCUCACCAGCAAUCGCAGGAGAAGUCCUUGGCGAAAUCUCAGGAGACAUAAAAACAGUGAGAUUUUCCUAAAGAAAUCACAUGAAAAAUCAAUCAUGGAAUCCCGAAUGGAUUCCCUAGAGGAGUCCUAAGAAGAAUAUAUGAACGGAUCUCAGGAAGAAUCCUGAGAAGGACAAAUCAUGGGAUGAAUCCAUACAGGAAUCUCGGGUGGAAUUAUAAGUUUAAACCUUGUAGGAAUUCUUGGAGAUCUCCAUGUAGAAUUAUCGGGAGGAAUUGCUGAAUAUUUUCAGAGAUAAAUUCUUGCGAGAACCCUUGUAUUUAGACAAGGAUAUCCGUGAUAUAAAUUACAUCAGCGCCAUCUGAUACGGCAAUUUUAAACUGUAAAUCUUUCCGACUCGUUGCUCUUAUACUUGAAAAGUUUUGUUGGAAACGCCAUCUCUAUAUCUCUUCGUAGAAUCGAGCAACAGUAAUUUUAUUCAAACCAGUCCCACCUGGUCGGAGAAUUUCCUACUCUGCCUAAGGCUUAUGUACAAAUUUUCCUGGGAAUGCCUUGUGCAAUUAUUGUCUCGGUAUUCCUCUAAUUUCUUCCAGGUUUUCUAUGGGGACUGUUGCCAGAACUUCUAGAGAUGUUCUUCUCUCGGAAUUCUCAAAAUUUCUACCGAUUUUUUUCUGAAAUACCUACAGGAGUAUUUCCGGGACUUCUACUUUUAUUCCUCUUAGCAUUCCUAAUUCCGGUAGAUAUCCCGGAAAACUCCUCUCUAAAAGAAUUCUGGUAACAGGUAAUACAAAAAAAAAAGAUGAUUCCCGGAAUGAGCUCUGUGAGAAAUCACGGAAGGAAAUUUCCGCUCGGCACUCCGAGAUAAAUCCCGGGAAAAUAUGUUGAAGAAAUGCUGGAAGCAACUAUGGUAGGAAUUUUGGUCGAAAUCCGGAAGACACUCUGGGAGAAAUCCUUGGCACAUCUCUGGGAGAUAUCUCGUGAGGAACUGUGGAAAAAUUAUCACGAGGGACUUCUGCAGGAAACUUUAGGGGAAAUCACGAAGAAGACUCCCGUGAGGGAUUUCGGGACAGAUCCAGCAAGGGAGUCUGAGAGAAGCCUCGAAACAAUCUCAGAAAACUUGAAAAUUCCGAAAACAACUUAUGGAGAAAUCCCGCGAAAACUCCUGGAGAAUUUCUAGGAGAAGCCAAGGAGAAAUUCAGGAAAAUAUCUAGAGGUAUAUCUAGUGAGGAACUGUUGGAGAAAUUUCAGCAGAAGUUCGUGGAAUUCGUAAAGAAACGCGAGGAACUUCAGGAGAAAUCCUGAGAAUAUCUCUUGUAGAAAAUGCAAACAAAGAUCUCUGCAUAUCCUGGGCGGAGUUCUACAUUAAAUUCCAGAUUUUCUGGAGAGAUCCCCUAGUGAAAAUCGAAGCAGAUUCCCGGGGAAACUUGAUUCUGGAGAUGUUGAAGAAAACGUGGGAGAAAUCCCGGGAAAAUAUCUGAGAAAAUAUCUGGGAGGUAUUUCGCGAGGAACUUUUCAAGAAAAGAAUAGGAGAAGUUCAUGGAAUUCGUAAAGAAACACCAUGGACUCCAGGAGAAAUCCCGAGAAAAUCUCUGAAAGAAACCUCAGGGGAAUCUUUGGAUGAAAUCUUGGAGAGCAAUUCCAGGAGACGCUCCGGAGAAAUCGAUAUGAAAUUCUGGAAUCUGUGAGACGUCUUGUGAGGAAUUUCUGGAGAAAGAUCAAGACGAAUUCGUAAAGAACCGCGAUGUGCUCCAGGAAAAAAAUAAAGAAAAUCUUCUUGAAAAAAUCCGGAAGGAUCUCACAAUGAAAUUCUACAAAGAACUCCUGGAAAAGUUCCGGGAGGAACUUCUGAAAAUUUCCUGGAGAUAUGUCCAAGAGAAUCCCUGGAAAAUAUCUGGGACAUAUUUUGCGAGAACUGUAGAUCAGGAGUGUUCUUGAUGAAAUCCCGGGUGAACCUCCGAGAGAAAUUACGGGGAAAACUCUUGGAGAAAUCCGGUGAGAAUCGCUCGGAGAAACCCGAAAAAAAUCCGGAAAAACUCCGCGGAAUGAUUCCGUAAGGAAAACCGGGAGAACAUGAAAAAAAAAGUUGAAAAAUUACUUGGGGAAGCUCUGGAAGAUAUCCCGGGAAAUGUUCUAGAAGACAUUCUGGGAGGAACGAGAAAAAUUCCACAAGGAUCUCUUGGAUUAAUUCCGGAAAAGCUUUGCAACAAAUACCGAACGUCGUAGGGCCCGAGGAGGAUUCUUCCCAGAAUCUGAAGAGGAUCGUCCACAGAGUCCACAAAGGAAUCUCCACAAAAUCAGGAUUUCACGGCGAAGGGUUCUCCUAGCCAUGAAUCCCCUCAGCAGAGCACUCUAACAAUCGAACUUGUGACUCUAGCCACACUCAGGAAGAUGUAAAGGCAUCACCGAUAAUCAGGUAUUAUGUGUACCUCAGAUCUAGUAGCUGCGGUAAGAUUAACUGUCAUGAAAUGUACAUCCCGCAAUGUAUGUGAAACUGAUCAUGGUUACAGAACUCUCCAUCUGGCGCCACGAAGAUUAUCAACUGAAUUGCUAUAUCAAGACAGUCGACGAGACUGUCAUAUUGUGGAAGCAGAAGGAAGGUUGUACGGGAAGCUCUCCCAUCAGCGUAGUAUUAUGGUACCGUGACCUUACCAAUUGUCCCUUUAAAUUUUCUUGAGAAAAUUUCCAUUUGCCCUUCAAAAAUUCGAGAAAUCAGAUUGAUUACAUUUUUCUUAUGUUAUUGGCCGGAUUCUGUAAAAAAAUCUCGCCGGGUUCUUUGGAGAAUUCUGUCUAGAAUUUGUGGAGAAUACCAUCCGGAUUCUAUGGAAGAUCAAUUUUGGAUACUGUGGAACAUCUUCGCCAGAUUACGUGGUGAAUUCUCUCCAAAUUCUGUGAAGAAUGCUUGUUGACUUCUGUGGGUAAUCCAAUACGGAUUUUAUGGAGAAUCCUCUCCGGAUUUUAAGGAGAACACUCUCCGAAUUCUGUGGAGAAUCCUCUCCUAAUUAUGUUGAGAAUCCGGACUCUUUGGAGAAUGCUGAGGGAAAUCCUUUCUAGAUUCUGAGGGAAAUCCUUUCUAGAUUCUGUGGAGAAUCCUUUUCGGAUUCUGUGGAGAAGCCUCUACGGAUUCUGUGGAGAGUUCUCUCCAGAUUUUGUGGAGAAUUCUCUCCAGAUUCUGUGGAGAAUCCUCUCUGGAUUAUGUGGAAAAUCCUAUCAGGAUUCUGUUAAGAAUUCUCUCCGAAUUAUAUGGAGAAUCUACUCCUGAUUCUGAGAAGAACCCUCUCCGGAUAUUAAGGAGAAUCUUUUCCAGAUUCUAUGAGUUAUUCGCGCUGAAAUGUGCAGGGAAUCUUCGCUAGAAUCUGUUGAAAAUCCUCUCCGGAUUCUGUAAGGAAUUCUCUGUGGAGAAUCCUCUCCUCAUUCUAUGGAGUAUCCUCUCCGGAUUGUGUGGAUAGUCUCCAUAGUGAAUCGGCAAAUUUUAUGGAAAAUCCUCUCCAAAUUCAGUGGAGCUUCUCGUCAAACAUUGUAGAGAAUCCCCUCUGGAUUCUGUGAAGAAUCCACGCCAAAUUUCAUGAUGAAUCCUCCGAAUCCUCCCUAUAUUCUGUGAAAAAUCCUCUCCAGAUUCUGUAAAAAAAUCUUCUCCGAAUUUGCUGAAGAAUUCUCGCCGGAUUCCAUGGAUGAUCCUUGCUGGAUUACCUAGGAACCUACGAACUUUUAGAAUUUAUUGAAUAAGCUCCAUUCUGAGAUAUCUUUCUCAACGACAAACCCCGGUGUUGUAAUUUUCCAUUACAAGUUAUAGAAUCUUGGUGACAUUCCGUAGCACGCAAUACCUAUUCUUCCGUAAGUUAUGAUCUGUAAACAAUCAGGGAUUCCGAUCCAAGUCAAACAGCUUCAUUAGCUAGUAGCUUACAACACCGGUGACGAUAGCCAGCGCGCGACGUCAAGUUCUCGGCCGCCACCCCACACACCGCACCGGUUCUAAUCACCCUCUUAAUCAUCAUCAUGGUUCACCUACAACCGUUUCGCUUGUGUAAUAAUUAAUACGACUCACCCCCUCUCCCUCGCCUCUU